AUCCUGACCCAUAAAUAUAAUGACCCAACCCAAAACCCACUAAACUCGACAUUUGCCACUUCUCAGCAGUCAGCCCCUCUCAAUCUCACCGAUAUCGGUAUAUCACUAACCGCAGCAACAGUACUCCAUCAUCUCCCUCUCACGCCCUCCGGCAUCCCUCACCAAGCUGAAUACGGUGCAUGAACCAUUGACGUUGGAGAAAAGGUCUGCUGACUACGGUGCAUGAACCAUUGACGUUGGAGAAAGGGUCUGCUGACUACGGUGCAUGAACCAUUGACGUUGGAGAAAAGGUCUGCUGACUAUGGUGCAUGAACCAUUGACGUUGGAGAAAAGAUAUGUAAUUCCAAGAAGCCUCAAGCAAAGGAGUUUUUGCGAAAACAAUAUAUGAUAUGUUUGCGGAGCACUCUGUGUUGGACUCCUCUCAGUUAAUUCUGUGAAGUUAAGAGUUUGUAAAGAAGCAGAGAACUGAAUAAUCAUGCCAAGCAUUCUUAACGUAGGGUUCCAAGUAUCCUCUACGCAAUAAAGAGAUUCAUAGUUAAUUGCAUGAUGGAAUGGUUGAAGCUGUCAUUAUCUGCUGAAGCAUCCUGCAUCAUUUUUCUUCUUUUCUUAAAGAAAAAAAAAUUCAAAAUUAAUUUAUCAUGAUGUUCCUUGGAUCAUUGGAUUACUCACACACACACAAUAAGAAGCAAUAAUGAUGGAGGAUGUUUGAUCUCUGCAUAAUUUUGUUUUGGGGUGUUUUGAUCCUGUUAGUAGGCUCCAAGCCUUUUGUUGAUGCUAUUUCGCAGGAAUUAAGAGUUGCGUUUUGGAU